UCCCUAGUACCUCAGAUGGUAUAGCAUCUGCCUGCAAUGCGGGAGACCCAGGUUCAAUCCCUGGGUCGGGAA
rnacentral:tRNA from 1 species